rnacentral:rRNA from 1 species
UAGAGUUUGAUCAUGGCUCAGGAUGAACGCUAGCGGCAGGCCUAAUACAUGCAAGUCGAGGGGCAGCACGGUUUUCGGACUGGUGGCGACCGGCGCACGGGUGCGUAACGCGUAUGCAACCUACCUAUUACUGGGGGAUAGCCCGGGGAAACUCGGAUUAAUACCCCAUAGCAUUAUAGAUUGGCAUCAUGAAAUAAUUAAAGAUUUAUUGGUAAUAGAUGGGCAUGCGUAAGAUUAGCUAGUUGGUGAGGUAACGGCUCACCAAGGCGACGAUCUUUAGGGGGUCUGAGAGGAUGAUCCCCCACACUGGUACUGAGAUACGGACCAGACUCCUACGGGAGGCAGCAGUAGGGAAUAUUGGUCAAUGGGCGAAAGCCUGAACCAGCCAUGCCGCGUGCAGGAAGACGGCCUUCUGGGUUGUAAACUGCUUUUAUAUAGGAAGAAAACGCCCUUGCGAGGGAAACUGACGGUACUAUAUGAAUAAGCACCGGCUAACUCCGUGCCAGCAGCCGCGGUAAUACGGAGGGUGCAAGCGUUGUCCGGAUUUAUUGGGUUUAAAGGGUACGUAGGCGGCUUUUUAAGUCAG